AUACGGAGGAUCCGAGCGUUAUCCGGAUUUAUUGGGUUUAAAGGGAGCGUAGGCGGACUAUUAAGUCAGCUGUGAAUGUUUGCGGCUCAACCGUAAAAUUGCAGUUGAUACUGGUCGUCUUGAGUGCAGUAGAGGUAGGCGGAAUUCGUGGUGUAGCGGUGAAAUGCUUAGAUAUCACGAAGAACUCCGAUUGCGAAGGCAGCUUACUGGACUGUAACUGACGCUGAUGCUCGAAAGUGUGGGUAUCAAACAGGAUUAGAUACCCUGGUAGUCCACACAGUAAACGAUGAAUACUCGCUGUUUGCGAUAUACGGCAAGCGGCCAAGCGAAAGCAUUAAGUAUUCCACCUGGGGAGUAAGCCGACAACGGUGAAACUCAAAUGAAUU
rnacentral:rRNA from 1 species